UGGGGGAUAUUGCACAAUGGGCGCAAGCCUGAUGCAGCGACGCCGCGUGGGGGAUGAAGGCCUUCGGGUUGUAAACUUCUUUUGCUCUGAACAAGGCGCACUUUGGGGUGUGUUGAGUGUAGGGGUUGAUUAGCGCCGGCUAACUACGUGCCAGCAGCCGCGGUAAUACGUAGGGCGCGAGCGUUGUCCGGAAUUAUUGGGCGUAAAGGGCUUGUAGGUGGCUGGUUGCGUCUGUCGUGAAAGCUCAUGGCUUAACUGUGGGUUUGCGGUGGGUACGGGCUGGCUUGAGUGCAGUAGGGGAGGCUGGAAUUCCUGGUGUAGUGGUGGAAUGCGCAGAUAUCAGGAGGAAUACCGGUGGAGAAGGCGGGUCUCUGGGCUGUUACUGACACUGAGGAGCGAAAGCAUGGGGAGCGAACAGG
rnacentral:rRNA from 1 species